rfam:Echinostoma caproni strain Egypt genome assembly, scaffold: ECPE_scaffold0021968
GGCCUCGUAGCUCAGCUGGUAGAGCAUGCGCGUACACAGCGUAGGCGACGUCCAUGCAUGGGUUCGAAUUCUAUCGAGGCUA